UGGACAUGAAUUGGAGUUAAAUUUGCUUAAUUUAAGAUCCCCUGUUCUCAAUGAAAUCAGUUAGUGUCUAGCAGGGGCAAAAGGCUUACAGAGCUCAAUGGGAGCAAGAAGAAUUCUUUGCUGAGUCAAAGGCUUUUUACACUGUGAGAAGUUACUAGAAGGAAUAAUGGAUCUGUGCUACGAUGUUCGGAUCCCCUUAAUCAGUUCUUUAGUUUCUGCUGGAAUCUUACUGAUUUAAGGACCUUAAUUCUAGAGUGCUCUGGCUUUCCUCCAAGCAGGAGGAUAGUUCCAACUCAUAGCAGAUGUAGACCAUCCCCUAAGACUCAGGAUCAAUCAGACAGAAGUGAAACAACUCAUGUCACCUGUAAAUUGUCAUCUCUAAGCAAGCAAAAAGACAGGCUUCUGGGAAUGCCAUGUGUUAUACCUAUGCUAGGGAGAAAAGCGUUCACA